GACGAACGCUGGCGGCGUGCUUAACACAUGCAAGUCGAACGGAAAGGCCCUGCUUUUGUGGGGUGCUCGAGUGGCGAACGGGUGAGUAACACGUGAGUAACCUGCCCUUUACUUUGGGAUAACUUCAGGAAACUGGGGCUAAUACCGGAUAGGAGCUCCUGCUGCAUGGUGGUGGUUGGAAAGUUUCGGCGGUUGGGGAUGGACUCGCGGCUUAUCAGCUUGUUGUUGGGGUAGUGGCUUACCAAGGCUUUGACGGGUAGCCGGCCUGAGAGGGUGACCGGCCACAUUGGGACUGAGAUACGGCCCGGACUCCUACGGGAGGCAGCAGUGGGGAAGAUUGAAGAAUGGGCGGAAGCCUGAUGCAGCAACGCCGCGUGCGGGAUGACGGCCUUCCGGUUGUAAACCGCUUUAGCCUGUGACGAAGCGUGAGUGACGGUAAUGGGUAAAGAAGCACCGGCUAACUACGUG
rnacentral:rRNA from 1 species